GGGCCCGUAGCUCAGCCAGGUAGAGCGACAGGCUCAUAACCUGUUGGUCCAGGGUUCGAAAGCAUGGAGCUCCUCCA
rnacentral:tRNA from 1 species